rnacentral:misc_RNA from 1 species
CGAAAGCGUUUUUAACAGCGCAAAACCCACUGUGAACAUACCUGUUUGUUGCUUCGGCAGGCGGCCCCAGGGCGGGGCCAGCAGCCUGUAUUUUUUUUCAGGCGCCUGCCGGAGGCCACUUCAAACUCUUUUGUAUACGUACUGUCUGAGCCUAAAAACAAAUACGUUA